GCCCGCCGCUGCCGCCGCCUCGCCCGCUCCCCGCCCCCGCUGACGCUGCCUCCUCGGGAAGGGUGUUUGGAGGGCAGCGGCCGCCCCAAGCCGGAGCCCCGCGCGAGCGCCUCUUAUGAUCAGCUCGGUGUGCGUCUCCUCCUACCGCGGGCGCAAGUCGGGGAACAAGCCUCCGUCCAAAACAUGUCUGAAGGAGGAGAUGGCCAAGGGCGAGGCGUCGGAGAAGAUCAUCAUCAACGUGGGCGGCACGCGACAUGAGACCUACCGCAGCACCCUGCGCACCCUCCCGGGCACCCGCCUCGCCUGGCUGGCCGAUCCCCAUCCCGACCCCCACCCCCACCCCCACCCCCAUCCCGACGGCGACGGCGGCGGCGGGGCGCGGCCCGGGCCCGAUGGCGGCGGCGGCGGGGGCCGCGAGUUCUUCUUCGACCGGCACCCGGGCGUGUUCGCCUACGUGCUCAACUACUACCGCACCGGCAAGCUGCACUGCCCGGCCGACGUGUGCGGGCCGCUCUUCGAGGAGGAGCUCACCUUCUGGGGCAUCGACGAGACGGACGUGGAGCCCUGCUGCUGGAUGACCUACCGGCAGCACCGCGACGCCGAGGAGGCGCUCGACAUCUUCGAGAGCCCGGACGGGGGCGGCGGGGCGGCGGGGCCCGGCGAGGAGGCGGGCGAGGACGAGCGCGAGCUGGCCCUGCAGCGCCGGGGGCCGCACGACGGGGGCGCGGGCGCCGGGCCCGGGGGCUGCCGUGGCUGGCAGCCCCGCAUGUGGGCGCUCUUCGAGGACCCCUACUCCUCCCGGGCGGCCAGGGUGGUGGCCUUCGCCUCUCUCUUCUUCAUCCUGGUCUCCAUCACCACCUUCUGCCUGGAGACCCAUGAGGCCUUCAACAUUGACCGCAACGUGACAGAGAUCCACCGGGUGGGGAACACCACCAGCGUGCACUUCCGGCGGGAGGUGGAGACAGAGCCCAUCCUGACCUACAUCGAGGGUGUGUGUGUGCUGUGGUUUACGCUGGAGUUCCUGGUGCGCAUCGUGUGCUGCCCCGACACGCUGGACUUCGUCAAGAACCUUCUCAACAUCAUUGACUUUGUGGCCAUCCUGCCCUUCUACCUGGAGGUGGGACUGAGCGGCCUGUCGUCCAAGGCGGCCCGAGACGUGCUGGGCUUCCUGCGCGUGGUGCGCUUCGUCCGAAUCCUGCGCAUCUUCAAGCUCACGCGCCACUUUGUGGGGCUGCGCGUGCUGGGCCACACCCUGCGUGCCAGCACCAACGAGUUCCUGCUGCUCAUCAUCUUCCUGGCCCUGGGCGUGCUCAUCUUCGCCACCAUGAUCUACUAUGCUGAGCGCAUUGGCGCCAGGCCCUCUGACCCGCGGGGCAAUGACCACACUGACUUCAAGAACAUCCCCAUCGGCUUCUGGUGGGCCGUGGUCACCAUGACGACCCUAGGCUAUGGGGAUAUGUAUCCCAAGACGUGGUCAGGCAUGCUGGUUGGGGCGCUGUGUGCACUGGCUGGCGUGCUCACCAUUGCUAUGCCCGUGCCGGUCAUUGUCAACAACUUCGGCAUGUACUACUCCCUGGCCAUGGCCAAGCAGAAGCUGCCUAAGAAAAGAAAGAAGCAUGUGCCACGGCCGCCCCAGCUUGAGUCACCCAUUUACUGCAAGUCGGAGGACACCUCACCCCGGGACAGCACCUACAGUGACGCCAGCCCCCCUGCCCCAGAAGAGGGUAUGGUUGAGAGGAAACGGGCAGACUCCAAGCAGAAUGGCGAUGCCAACGCGGUGCUGUCAGACGAGGAGGGAGCUGGCCUCACCCAGCCCCUGGCCUCUGCCCCCACCCCUGAGGAGCGCCGGGCCCUGCGACGCUCUGGCCCCCGAGACAAAAACAAGAAGGCAGCGGCCUGCUUCCUGCUCAGCGCCGGGGACUAUACCUGUGCCGAUGGUAGUGUCCGGAAAGGUGACCACUAAGGAACCUUUCUAAAUUAAGCAGGACAACAGCCAGCAGCCUGGGAUGUCACAUCCUUCCCGGGCCGGAGACAUCAACUCCAGAUUACCCGAACUUCCUCAGGCUGGAGGGCACCGUUUCGGUAUCUGCUGCAUCAUCUAGCCCAGUGCCAACCACAAAGUCGGUGUGGAAUAAAUCCACACGUUUACACUGCAAGGUUACGAGUAGGAUAAGCUUGGAACAGGGAAGCUCACUGCACAGCAGAGAAGACAUCCAGGAAUACGCGUGGCCCCUCCUGACCUGCACUCUGCGGUUUUGCAUUCAGUGCCCCGUUCCCGUGGCCCUUGAGCCCAGAUUGCUUAAGAGAGCUAACAGCAGCCGGCCAGAGUCCGCGCAGAUGCGUUUUGACGUGCUUGGCCUGGCUGGAGGGCCCUAGACCGAACCCGAUGUAUUUUUAGCUCCUUGGGUAUCUGGAAAAGUAUUGAGAUGCAGUUGUGGUCACAGACACCGGGCAAAUCAGUAUUCUGCCGCUGGCCUCCCCACACCAGCAGUUUCCGUUCAGUGUCUCCAAAGCAAGGGUUGCCAUGGAGAUGGAGUGCCAGGGCAACUGAACUUCCUGUCGGGAGAGGGAGACAGCGGCACAGGUGGAGCUCCGGGCCGUGGGAGCCCAGGAGCUCCUUGGAUGGCCACGGCACGUCUCCUGAAGGCAGACGAUGGCAGGAGUCCCCGGCGUCCCGGGAAGGAGGUGGCGGGGACUGCUUUGGUUCUCCCUCUGUCCCCUUGCCCAGGGACCGCGGCCAUCUAAGGAAGCAGCCUGGAAGCUGGUUGGGGAGGAAGGUGGCAGCGCCGUCCUGAGUACAGGUCGGUCCUGGUGCAUACCCGGACCCCAAGCUCCGUGAGCGGCGGGCGGAGGCCAGGUCCGCCCACCCUGGGGGCAUUGGAGUUACGGUCAUAACCCACUCUUGGGAUGGCGCUGCGCAGGCUUUUGUCCUUGCUGUUGUCUGCGAGGCUGCCCAGACAGGUGGCCUGGUCCCCACCUUCCCCGUUUACUCACUAAACGUUUCCGGCGGGCCUGAGAAGUUAGGCGGCGGAGCUGCCAGGGGCUCCACGAGGCUAAAGGCCCCGCCUACCGCGGCCGAAUCAGCAAGGUGUGAGGCCCGAGAGCAGCAGGUCUGUCGGUCCGUAGAUCGGAGGGCCCAGAGCCCGAGGAAGCUCUGAAGAGCACAGCCUGAGCCUCACAUCUCAGACAAAACAGAUUGAGGCCCAGAGAGAGCAGGAGCCAGGCCACUCGGGGAGUUGGUGACAAAACAGGACCAGGAUUCUUCUGCCCACACUUCUCACCACCCAGGGCUCCUUCCAGAGAAAUGUGCCGCCCUGAACUUUUACUGGCUGCUCACUCCAUGUCGGGGACUGGAUCAGCUACGAAUUCCUUUUAGUUGUUGUUGACAGAGACCUGAGCACAGCGACUUAAGCGAACGAGGAGCUCAUUCUCUCAUAAAAGAUGCCCGGGCCAAGCAUUACAGGGCUGUUGACAGUUGGGCAAAGUCGUCAGCGGUGCCGGUUCCCUGGUUUUCUGAGUCCCUGCCUUCAGCACAGAGGCUUGAUUCUAACUGCCCAGGAUGGCUGCUGGGGUUCCGGCCAUCACAGCUCCAUUCCAGGCAGAAAAGGAGGAAGAGAACAGAACAAAAGGGCCUGUGUGCCUUCUCUGCCUGCCCCUGCCCCGCCUCCUUCGGGGUCUUCCUGAAAGCCCAUCUAGGGUCCAUGUAGAGCCCAUUGGCACUGCUAAUUGCAAGAAAUAUUGAGAAAUGUCAUCUUUCGCCUGGGCACACUGCUACCCUAAAUACAAUUGGGAUUGCGGUGGGAAUGAAGAGCAGGAGAAUGAUACUUCUAAAUGUUCUGCAGUGUGUAUAUAUUUAUUAGAAAAUGAGGGGGCAAACUCCAAAAACUACCCAUCCGACCACCUGUUCAUCCACACAGGUGUGGUUGCCUUGCUCAGGGUCCUCUGCGAUAGGCUACUUCCAUGAGGUGGCACAAAGAUUCUUAAGGCAGGGUUUAAACAAACUUAAGAUCACUGCAGUUCAGUUUGAACAAAAUCCCCAGACCCUGUGGAUUCACCCUUGGAAGAGGCUUGGAGUGGGAGUGGCAAAUCCACCAGGAGCUGUAGAGAUCACGGCCUCACACAGACUCAGCCGCCAGCCCCGGGCCUGCCCGCCGCCAGCCCCCAGCCCAGCCCACCUGGGAAGGCCUCCACUUGCCUGAAUCCCGCGCCCUCCGGGGCUGCCGGGCCACCCGCCCACUGGAGUCACGCUGAGCCACCGGCUGGGCGCUGGGUUCGCCAGGAAGCCUCGGCCUUUGUGCAGCCUCAGCUCACACCCGGCUCUGGUUACCUAUGAAUGGGAGCCGCUCUCCUCAGAGGGCCAUUCUCUUCAGGUAGCUGGUCUCCUCAGAUGGCCGUUUUCCUCAGGUUGCCGUUCUCCUCAGGUGGCCGUUCUCCUCAGGCGGCCGUUCUCCUCAGGCAGCCGGUCUCCUCAGGUAGCCGUUCUCCUCAGGUGGCUGUUCUCCUCAGGUAGCCGGUCUCCUCAGGUAGCCAUUCUCCUCAGGUGGCCGUUCACUUCAGGUAGCUGGUCUCCUCAGGUAGCUGUUCUCAUCAGGUAGCCGGUCUCCUCAGGUAGCUGGUCUCCUCAGGUGGCCAUUCUCCGCAGGUGGCUAUUCUCUUCAGGUAGCUGGUCUCCUCAGGUGGCCGUUCUCCUCAGGUGGCCAUUCUCUUCAGGUAGCCGGUCUCCUCAGGUGGCCAUUCUCCGCAGGUGGCCAUUCUCUUCAGGUAGCUGGUCUCCUCAGGUGGCCGUUCUCCUCAGGCAGCCGAUCUCCUCAGGUGGCCGUUCUCCUCAGGCGGCCGUUCUCCUCAGGCAGCCGAUCUCCUCAGGUGGCCGUUCUCCUCAGGCGGCCGUUCUCCUCAGGCAGCCGGUCUCCUCAGGUAGCCGUUCUCCUCAGGUGGCUGUUCUCCUCAGGUAGCCGGUCUCCUCAGGUAGCCGUUCUCCUCAGGUGGCCGUUCACUUCAGGUAGCUGGUCUCCUCAGGUAGCUGUUCUCUUCAGGUAGCCGGUCUCCUCAGGUGGCUAUUCUCCUCAGGUGGCCAUUCUCCGCAGGUGGCCAUUCUCUUCAGGUAGCUGGUCUCCUCAGGUGGCCGUUCUCCUCAGGUGGCCAUUCUCUUCAGGUGGCUGUUCACUUCAGGUAGCCGGUCUCCUCAGGUGGCUGUUCUCCUCAGGUGGCCAUUCUCCGCAGGUGGCCAUUCUCUUCAGGUAGCUGGUCUCCUCAGGUGGCCAUUCUCCUCAGGUGGCCAUUCUCCUCAGGUGGCUGUUCACUUCAGGUAGCCGGUCUCUUCAGAUAGCCGGUCUCUUCAGGUGGCUGUUCUCCUCAGGUGACCGUUCUCCUCAGGUGGCCAUUCUCCUCAGGUGGCUGUUCUCCGUAGGUGGCCGUCUCCUCAGGUGGCCAUUUUCUUCAGGUGGCCGGUCUCUUCAGGUGGCUGUUCUCUUCAGGUAGCUGGUCGCCUCGGGUGGCCAUUCUCUUCAGGUAGCUGGUCUCCUCAGGUAGCCAGUCUCUUCAGGUGGCCGUUCUCUUCAGGUAGCUGGUCUCCUCAGAUGGCCGUUCUCUUCGGGUAACUGGUCUCCUCAGGUGGCUGUUCUCCUCAUGUAGCUGUUCUCUUCAGGUAGCCAGUCUCCUCCGGUAGCUGGUCUCCUCAUGUGGCCGUUCUCUUCAGGUGGCCGUUCUCCUCAGGUGGCCGUUCUCCUAUGGUGGCCAUUCUCUUCAGGUAGCUGGUCUCCUCAGGUGGCCGUUUCUCUUCAGGUAGCCGGUCUCUUCAGGUGGCUGUUCUCUUCAGGUAGCUGGUCUCCUCAGAUGGCCAUUCUCUUCAGGUAGCUGGUGUUCUCAGGUGGCCAUUCUCCUCAGGUGGCUGUUCUCUUCAGGUAGGCGGUCUCCUCAGGUAGCUGGUCUCCUCAGGUGGCCGUUCUUCUCAGGUGGCCGUUCUCCUCAGGUAGCUGGUCUCCUCAGGUGGCCAUUCUCCUCAGGUGGCUGUUCUCUUCAGGUAGGCGGUCUCCUCAGGUAGCUGGUCUCCUCAGGUGGCCGUUCUCUUCAGGGGGCCAUUCUCUUCAGGUAGCUGGUCUCCUUAGGUGGCCGUUCUCCUCAGGUGGCCCGUUCUCUUCAGGUAGCUGGUCUCCUCAGGUGGCCGUUCUCUUCAGGUAGCCGGUCUCUUCAGGUGGCUGUUCUCUUCGGGUAGCUCAGGUGGCCGUAAGACAGGUCAGGACUCAGAGGAUACCCAUAGGAAAGUGAAGCCUGUGCCUGGAGGCCUGACUGCCGGCGCCCCGUUGGAACACCUCAAGAGGGGGCAGGCCAAAGGGGCUCCGCAGGGACCUGCCGCUCCACUCAGCGUGGUGCUUCUCCAUGAUAUUUGUACAUAACACAUUGUCCCAGGCACGAUGAAAGGUUUUUGAGAGGGGGACAGUGAGAAAGCAAGAAUCAGUCUAUUCAACAUGAAACUGGGUGGCUGACUGAUGACAGUGCCCAGACGCUCCUAGUGUAUGCAGCACCCGCUCACCCCUUAAUCUUUGCUCACCGAACGCCAGUUUUAUUUGGGAGCAGUAACACGCUCAGUUGCAGUAUCUGGCCUCUCAGGCUUGCUGGCAAACGGCCAGAGGGCUGGACAAUAAAGCAGAGGAAAACAUCUCUGGGAAGGCUGUCCAUCCCUUAUUGAAAGGCAAAGGCCCCAUGGAGAAGACUGGCCUCACCCUCCCCUUCUUCCUGCCUGGAGUGAGCAGGAGAUGCUUGGGAGUGAAGGGGGCCAUCCUGCAACCCUGGUUGGAAGAGCCCUAUGCUACGAUAGCGGAGCUGGAAGCUAGAAGGAUCUAGGCUUAGGGUUCUCCUGACAACAUCCCUGUACUACCUACUUCCUGACUUCUUGUUACAUGGCAAAAAUUGAAGCCCCAUUUGGGUGAGCCAGUGUGGAUUUCUUUUAAGAGAAGCCAAAAGCGAUCCUGACUGAUGCCCAAGGAUUGCCAAAGGGCUGUGCCUUUUUGUGUGAUUGCAGAUUUGCCAACCCAUCUGUAGUUCCUGUCCUGGUUCUGUCCCCAGGCCCACUUCACUUCUUCACCGGGCCAGCUUGGAGCAGACCACCCUAUGUAUCAGGGAAAGAAACUGGCUGGAUUCUCCCAGCAGAAUUUCCAGCAGGCCUGGGCUUGCAUCUCAAUUGUUCAUCUUUAUAUAUCACUCUGGGGGAAGGUGAAGAAUUAAGUCCCAUGGACUGCUUUUAUUCCUCCCGAGAGAGAAUAUGGCAUCCAGGAAAAUACUUCUUGGCUGAGAAGUUUCUGAGAAUUAAAAACUUGGUACUCCCAAACUCAGGAAGAGAAUCUUCUCUCUUCUCAUCUCAAACCAUUGAGGCCAUAGGACUGCUUCCUACUCCCUGCCCCAUAGAUUGCAGGUCUCAAUCCUUUGAGAGCCAUAAGAUCUUAAGGCUUUGUAAGGAGGAAAUCAUGACUGUAUCAUCUGUCAGAUUUUUCUCAGUUCCCCCAAAUCUUUUUGGGUGCUUGCUAUGUGUCUAAAUAGUCUUCACAAAAUGAACAAAUGGCUUUGAAAGAUUCUUGCAAAGAAAACUGGAUUGGAGAUCCUAUUAAUAAUGCAAACAUGAGAAACAGUAAAAAAAAAAAAAAAAAAAAAAAAAAUCUGGAAUGAUCUUUCUCCUCCUGAAUAAGGGCCUUUAGUAGCUGGCAAAAGCAAUGACAGUCUCACUGGAUCUAAAAAGAUGUUGACCAAAAAAAGCCAGCAUUUUCAAGAUAAUUCUAAAAUAUGGUUAACAGUUAUUAUUGUUAAUGAAGGUUAUUGCCCUAACAGUUUUUGCCUUGUGAUAUUAGCUAUUGAUAGUAAAAGCUUGCCAAUUAGUAAGAUAGUUAAAAAUUAGGAAUCCAGGGGCACCUGGGUGGCUCAGCGGUUUAGUGCCUGCCUUCAGCCCAGGGCCUGAUCCUGGAGACCCUGGGAUCAAGUCCCACGUUGGGCUCCCUGUAUGGAGCCUGCUUCUCCUUCUGCCUGUGUCUCUGCCUCUCUCUCUCUCUCUCUCUCUGUCUCUUAUGAAUAAAUAAAUAAAAUCCUAAAAAAGCAAUCAGGCACUCCCACAAUGAAUAUAAACUUCUUCAAUUAUUUCAUUGAUGCUUAAACUUAUUAACCAUACUUACCCCAGUAUUUAACAAAAUUUCAUUAAAUGUAGUAAGUGUA